rnacentral:rRNA from 1 species
GCCUACGGGGGGCAGCAGUAGGGAAUUUUCGUCAAUGGGCGCAAGCCUGAACGAGCAAUGCCGCGUGAACGGGGAAGGUCUUCGGAUCGUAAAGUUCUGUUGAAGGGGAAAAAGAGCGGAGAGAGGAAAUGGUCUCCGAUUGAUAUUACCCUUCGAGGAAGUCACGGCUAACUACGUGCCAGCAGCCGCGGUAAUACGUAGGUGGCGAGCGUUAUCCGGAAUGAUUGGGCGUAAAGGGUGCGUAGGCGGCCUGCUAAGUCUGGAGUGAAAGGUACCGGCUCAACCGGUACAGGCUCUGGAAACUG